AGCUCGCUUGAAGGCCCAAAAAGUGGCCGUGGUGGUCGUUUCGUUUGGGGUGCAAUCUGGCGCCGAAAACUGGCUCCAAGAAACGGGAUGUCAGCUGCCCAUGUUUCUCGAUCCGGAUCGCAAGUUAUAUAGAGCUUUUGGACUGCAUAGGUCCUUGGCCAAGGUAUUCAACCAUAAGAGCCUGUUUUAUUAUGGAGAACAAGUGGCCUCUGGACGAGCCUUGCCCAAGGCCAUGAGUGGGAUUGAAGAUGAUCCCUUGCAAAUGGGCGGCAACUUCACUGUCUCCGUUCCAAGUUCGAAAAUGACGUUGAUCCACAGGAGCAAGAACCCCUCAGAUCGACCUUGUUUGGAACAGAUUUUGAAUAUCGAAGCUUAAUGGGAGAAAGUGCGGGAGUACCAUUAUGAUAAUUUGGGAUGAAAUUUCGCAUUUGAAUGUCCUGAAAUUUGAUGACUCAGUUACUGACGUGCUUUGAUCGAUUGCGCUAUUUGAAAUAUAAAAUUAAGAAGAAUUUGUGUAAUAAUCACAAAUGACUGAACAUUGUGAGCGACCACACUAGUGACUUUUCCAUUGAUGUCUUUCAAAUAAAAUUGAGCCUAAUCUAAUCUGAUCUGACAAGGCGGAGGAGACAACUCGAAUUGCUCUUCUGUUGGUAAAACUGGAAUUACCUUUCAUCUUACAGUUACGCCCUUCGGUCAUCGUCGUCGCCAAAAUGGAGACUAUUCCCUCAGUGGACAAUGCUCUACGGACUUUGUUCGCCACAUCCACCAUAUCUCAAGACAGAUCGGUGCUGAGUCCAAAGAAAUUCGGUACUCCGGAAUCGAAAAUUAUGUUCACGGCCGAAUUUGUAUUCUCCAAAAUACAGGGAUUAGCCAAACAUGGGAUUACGUGCUCACAGGACCUAAUCAAGUACAUGAAUUGUCAUCCCCAGACUUAUGUGUGCCAUGAAAAUUGUGUCUUGAGCCGUGAACUCUGGAAUGUCAUGCCAUGCGAAUUUGACGCCUUUAUAGAAUUCGCCAACCUCUUUCGAUAUCAUUCCGGUUACAAUAGACAAUACCUCUUGGCGGCAGUACAAGAAAACGAAAUUUUGCAAAUCCGUCUGAAGAAUAUGAAAAGUCUUCGAGCGUUUCUGCGCUUAUUUUCGGAAUUCUUCGUAAUUUUGGAAAAUGGACUUGUAGGGACAAACAUAUCAUUUGGUUCGCUGCCUCCGGAAAAAGUAAAAAAGAUUGACAACAUGCAUACCAUGACAUUGAUCCAGUCGUUCAUCGCCUUGGGUAAAAACGUCCAUUCUGGUCCCAUCAAGUUUUCAAUGAUGCUUGAGCACUUUACUUUUAAUACUGUAUAAUAUAAUAUUGGAGUUUUGAAUACAUGUAUCUAGAGUGGUUAA